CCUACGGGAGGCAGCAGUGAGGAAUAUUGGUCAAUGGGAGAGAUCCUGAACCAGCAAAGCCGCGUGAGGGAAGCCGGCCCUAUGGGUUGUAAACCUCUUUUGUCGGAGAACAAAACCCGGGACGUGUCCCGGACUGCGUGUAUCCGAAGAAAAAGCAUCGGCUAACUCCGUGCAAGCAGCCGCGGUAAUCCGGAGGAUGCGCGCUGUAUCCGGAUUUAUUGGGUUUAAAGGGUGAGUAGGCGGUCCGUUAAGUCAGCGGGAACAUUGCGGGGCUCAACCCCGUCGAGCCGUUGAAACUGGCAGACUUGAGUUGGCGAGAGGUACGCGGAAUGCGCGGUGUAGCGGUGAAAUGCAUAGAUAUCGCGCAGAACUCCGAUUGCGAAGGCAGCGUACCGGCGCCAGACUGACGCUGAGGCACGAAAGCGUGGGGAUCGAACAGGAUUAGAUACCCGAGUAGUC
rnacentral:rRNA from 1 species